rnacentral:rRNA from 1 species
GAGUUUGAUCAUGGCUCAGAUUGAACGCUGGCGGCAUGCCUUACACAUGCAAGUCGAACGGCAGCAUGAUCUAGCUUGCUAGAUUGAUGGCGAGUGGCGAACGGGUGAGUAAUACAUCGGAACGUGCCCUGUAGUGGGGAGUAACUAGUCGAAAGAUUAGCUAAUACCGCAUACGACCUGAGGGUGAAAGUGGGGGACCGCAAGGCCUCAUGCUAUAGGAGCGGCCGAUGUCUGAUUAGCUAGUUGGUGGGGUAAAGGCCCACCAAGGCGACGAUCAGUAGCUGGUCUGAGAGGACGAUCAGCCACACUGGGACUGAGACACGGCCCAGACUCCUACGGGAGGCAGCAGUGGGGAAUUUUGGACAAUGGGCGAAAGCCUGAUCCAGCAAUGCCGCGUGUGUGAAGAAGGCC